CAGAACGUGAGAAGAGGAGUCAACAGUCAACGUUAAGCUAGCUUCGAAAAUUACCAUUGAAUUCAUAGUCAGAGGAAACGUGAAAGUCGUGUAGCCACCGUCAACUAUUCUGUUCAAACUCAUUGUAUUCUACUGAAUGUGUCAUCGAAAUGAUACAGAUCACCGACCCCAACAUGGACUCUCAUUCCGUCUUCUAGAGAAUCUUUGAUAACUGAUUGGUGGUUUGAUGUGUAAGUUCACUUGUCAUGUUACUGAACUUUAUUAAUUGCAGUCUAAUAUGAAUUUUUGUUUUAUUUACAGGUUUCUAAAUUGGCAUGACUGACUUUAUGAGAAGUUAUUUCCUUUCAAGAUAAAGGACUCACAGUCAACAAGAUUCCUUGUUUGCUAACCCGUUAUUGGCUGCUACCCUUGAAUCUCCCUAUUUGUCAACAACAAAAAAGAGGUUAAAUAUUGUGAUCAUGCUAUCAUCAUUAUAAGUUAUGUUUACAUUGAAUUUAGAGAAAUUGUCAUACUAAUAGCAAUUUUAACGAUUGUUUUGUUUCUUAUU